AAUCUCCCGGAAUCAUUUCUGCACAAACUCGGUACUGGAACAGUGUGCGGAAAUGCUUCUGGUACAUU
rnacentral:pre_miRNA from 13 species